UACGUAGGGCGCAAGCGUUGUCCGGAAUUAUUGGGCGUAAAGAGCUUGUAGGUGGCUCGUUGCGUCGGGAGUGAAAACCUGCGGCUUAACCGCAGGCCUGCUUCCGAUACGGGCGAGCUAGAGUUCGGCAGGGGAGACUGGAAUUCCUGGUGUAGCGGUGGAAUGCGCAGAUAUCAGGAGGAACACCGGUGGCGAAGGCGGGUCUCUGGGCCGAUACUGACACUGAGGAGCGAAAGCGUGGGGAGCGAACAGG
rnacentral:rRNA from 1 species